GAUGAACGCUGGCGGCGUGCUUAACACAUGCAAGUCGAACGGUGAAGCAGGAGCUUGCUCCUGUGGAUCAGUGGCGAACGGGUGAGUAACACGUGAGCAAUCUGCCCUGGACUCUGGGAUAAGCGUUGGAAACGACGUCUAAUACCGGAUACGAGGCGUGGGGGCAUCCCCAACGCCUGGAAAGAACUUCGGUCCAGGAUGAGCUCGCGGCCUAUCAGCUAGUUGGUGAGGUAACGGCUCACCAAGGCGACGACGGGUAGCCGGCCUGAGAGGGUGACCGGCCACACUGGGACUGAGACACGGCCCAGACUCCUACGGGAGGCAGCAGUGGGGAAUAUUGCACAAUGGGCGCAAGCCUGAUGCAGCAACGCCGCGUGAGGGACGACGGCCUUCGGGUUGUAAACCUCUUUUAGCAGGGAAGAAGCGAAAGUGACGGUACCUGCAGAAAAGCACCGGCUAACUACGUGCCAGCCGCCGCCGUAACAC
rnacentral:rRNA from 1 species